rnacentral:rRNA from 1 species
AGUGAACGCUGGCGGUAGGCCUAACACAUGCAAGUCGAACGGCAGCACAGUAAGAGCUUGCUCUUACGGGUGGCGAGUGGCGGACGGGCGAGGAAUACAUCGGAAUCUACUUUUUCGUGGGGGAUAACGUAGGGAAUCUUACGCUAAUACCGCAUACGACCUACGGGUGAAAGCAGGGGAUCUUCGGACCUUGCGCGAUUGAAUGAGCCGAUGUCGGAUUAGCUAGUUGGCGGGGUAAAGGCCCACCAAGGCGACGAUCCGUAGCUGGUCUGAGAGGAUGAUCAGCCACACUGGAACUGAGACACGGUCCAGACUCCUACGGGAGGCAGCAGUGGGGAAUAUUGGACAAUGGGCGCAAGCCUGAUCCAGCCAUACCGCGUGGGUGAAGAAGGCCUUCGGGUUGUAAAGCCCUUUUGUUGGGAAAGAAAAGCAGCAGGUUAAUACCCCGCUGUUCUGACGGUACCCAAAGAAUAAGCACCGGCUAACUUCGUG